UAGAUUGUUUUUAUGCUUUGA
rnacentral:miRNA from 1 species